rnacentral:rRNA from 1 species
UGGGGAAUAUUGCACAAUGGGCGCAAGCCUGAUGCAGCCAUGCCGCGUGUAUGAAGAAGGCCUUCGGGUUGUAAAGUACUUUCAGCGGGGAGGAAGGGAGUAAAUUUAAUACCUUUGCUCAUUGACGUUACCCGCAGAAGAAGCACCGGCUAACUCCAUGCCAGCAGCCGCGGUAAUACGGAGGGUGCAAGCGUUAAUCGGGAUUACUGGGCGUAAAGCGCACGCAGGCGGUUUGUUAAGUCAGAUGUGAAAUCCCCGGGCACAACCUGGGAACUGGAUCUGAUACUGGCAGGCUUGAGUCUCGGAGAGGGGGGUAGAAUUCCAGGUGUAGCGGUGAAAUGCGUACAGAUCUGGAGGAAUACCGGUGGCGAAGGCAGCCCCCUGGACGAAGACUGACGCUCAGGUGCGAAAGCGUGGGGAGCAAACAGG